GCGCCAGUGGUAUUAGUGGCAAAAUCCAUCCAUCGCUGCCAUCGAUGGGCCCCGCGUUCGAUUCGCGGCUGACGCA